rnacentral:rRNA from 1 species
UGGGGAAUAUUGCACAAUGGGCGAAAGCCUGAUGCAGCAACGCCGCGUGAGGGACGACGGCCUUCGGGUUGUAAACCUCUUUAGCAAGGAAGAAGCGAAAGUGACGGUACUUGCAGAAAAAGCGCCGGCUAACUACGUGCCAGCAGCCGCGGUAAUACGUAGGGCGCAAGCGUUAUCCGGAAUUAUUGGGCGUAAAGAGCUCGUAGGCGGUUUGUCGCGUCUGCUGUGAAAACCCGAGGCUCAACCUCGGGCCUGCAGUGGGUACGGGCAGACUAGAGUGCGGUAGGGGAGAUUGGAACUCCUGGUGUAGCGGUGGAAUGCGCAGAUAUCAGGAAGAACACCGAUGGCGAAGGCAGAUCUCUGGGCCGUAACUGACGCUGAGGAGCGAAAGGGUGGGGAGCAAAACAGGCUUAGAUACCCUGGUAGUCCACCCCGUAAACGUUGGGAACUAGUUGUGGGGUCCAUUCCACGGAUUCCGUGACGCAGCUAACGCAUUAAGUUCCCCGCCUGGGGAGUACGGCCGCAAGG